rnacentral:lncRNA from 1 species
CAACCGAGUUCGCCAAGGCUGUGAAAAAUUUUAUAUAAUCAUAAAACUUGUUUUUAUUUUGACAACAUAGCCGUUCCUUGGCGUUGGCUGAGUCUCACUCUCACGCGGUGGUCCACGUGAAGUGCACUCAAAAAGCCCACCUCAAGAGAUACCCUACGCGCCUCUACGACCGAGGUGAGAAUAUAAAGGAGUUUACCGUGCCCCUCUAAUAGGCUAGUCCACG